GUGCUUGUUUUGGCAGAACAUAUACUAAAAUUAGAACGAAACAGAGAAGAUUAGCAUGGUCCCUACACAAGGAUGACACACAAAUUGGUGAAGCAUUCCAUAUUUUU